UCCCCGGUGGUCCAGUGGUUAGGACUCUGUGCUUUCACUGCUGGGGGCCCAGGUGCAAUCCCUGGUAGGGGAA
rfam:Ovis aries breed Texel chromosome 14, whole genome shotgun sequence.